rnacentral:rRNA from 1 species
AUUGAACGCUGGCGGAAUGCUUUACACAUGCAAGUCGAACGGCAGCACGGACUUCGGUCUGGUGGCGAGUGGCGAACGGGUGAGUAAUGUAUCGGAACGUGCCCAGUCGUGGGGGAUAACGUAGUGAAAAUUACGCUAAUACCGCAUACGAUCUAUGGAUGAAAGCGGGGGAUAGCAAGACCUCGCGCGAUUGGAGCGGCCGAUAUCAGAUUAGGUAGUUGGUGGGGUAAAGGCCCACCAAGCCAACGAUCUGUAGCUGGUCUGAGAGGACGACCAGCCACACUGGAACUGAGACACGGUCCAGACUCCUACGGGAGGCAGCAGUGGGGAAUUUUGGACAAUGGGCGCAAGCCUGAUCCAGCCAUUCCGCGUGCAGGAUGAAGGCCCUCGGGUUGUAAACUGCUUUUGUACAGAACGAAAAGGUUUCUACUAAUACUAGGAGCUCAUGACGGUACUGUAAGAAUAAGCACCGGCUAACUACGUG